rnacentral:tRNA from 1 species
AUUAAAGUGGCAGAGUAUAUUAUGCGAGGAAUUUAAGCUUCCUUUAUGAUUAAUUAUCCUUUAAUA